rnacentral:rRNA from 1 species
GAUCCUGGCUUAGGAUGAACGCUAGCGGUCAGGCCUAACACAUGCAAGUCGCGGGGCAGCACGGGUAGCCAAUACCUGGUGGCGACCGGCGCACGGGUGCGUAACGCGUAUGGCAACCUGCCCCCGAUCAGGGGAAUAGCCCGCCGAAAGGCGGAUUAAUGCCCCAUAGGGCCCAGGGCGCCGCAUGGCGCUAUGGGUAAAGCUCCGGCGGAUGGGGAUGGGCAGUGCGUGCCAUUAGCUAGUUGGGGCGGUAACGGCGCACCAAGGCGACGAUGGCUAGGGGGGUCUGAGAGGAUGGUCCCCCCACACUGGUACUGAGACACGGACCAGACUCCUACGGGAGGCAGCAGUGAGGAAUAUUGGUCGAAUGGGCGGAAGCCUGAACCAGCCAAUGCCGCGUGCAGGAUGACGGCCCUACGGGUUGUAAACUGCUUUUCCCCGGGAAGAAUAAGCCCCUCGUGAGGGGUGAUGCCGGUACCGGGGGAAUAAGGAUCGGCUAACUCCGUGCCAGCCGCCGC